rnacentral:tRNA from 1 species
UCCUUUAAAGUUUUAAAAAACAUUGAUUUUGUAAAUCAAAAGAAAAAAAAGGAA